rnacentral:misc_RNA from 1 species
AUGCCUUGCUCGGCUACACUGUAGUCAGGUGAGAGGUGUCACACAGUUCUCAGCUGCCACGGGGUCAUCUUCUUUCUUUUCUAGAAAGUCCACAGCCUCAAAUUUUUUGAGCUUCUCUAGAUGAGACUUCUGUUGUGGUGGUGGUAUUGGUGGCAUAACCCCAACCAUUUGUCUGAAGAAUGUGGCCAUUUGUUCAAACAUGGCCUGUUGAGGCUGUGCAGGCACCGCUUGUGCUGGUGGAGCAAGUUUCCUCCUGCCUCCAGCUUCAGUCAUAGGUGGAGCAUGACUUUUCACCUCUUCCUCAACUGACCUUUGCGAAGUUGGGUCCAUAUCCUAGCAUAAGACUAACACACAAUAGCCACAAAGCAAUUAGCAAUAAACCAUAGAGAAAGCUUAAAUUUCCGAUCAGUGUAAAGCCAACUCAAAGGCCCAAACUGCAACAAGAGGGAAGAGAGCCACAGGAUACCCUGACUUGAAAAUUAGAACUGAGAUAUAGUCUUUGUAGAUAAGAAAAGACCAAAAUAGUAGGGACUAAUGCCUAAUUGAAAUUACUUAAGCAAGAAAAGCUCACCCAGUUGGUGAGAAUAGGAGUUGUCCUGUUGAUGAGAGAAUUCUAAGUAAGAACAAUGCAUUCACACCUUUCUUCACCCUUUUUUAUUCUCUAUCUCUUCUCGUGAGGAUAUAUAAUUGAGGUAAGUGCCAUUGGAUUUGAGCAAUAUCUAAUCAGGCCUGGAGGUUCU